rnacentral:hammerhead_ribozyme from 1 species
GCACUGCUGUGGAGUCCCACGAUAGGACGAAACGGCCGUCCAGUGC